rnacentral:rRNA from 1 species
CACGUAGGAGGCAAACGUUAUCCGGAUUUACUGGGCGUAAAGCGCGUGUAGGUGGUACUGUAAGUAGGGCGUGAAAGCUCCUGGCUCAACUGGGAGAGGCCGUUCUAAACUACAGAACUAGAGGAUGGUAGAGGGAGGUGGAAUUCCAGGUGUAGCGGUGGAAUGCGCAGAUAUCUGGAGGAACACCGGUGGCGAAGGCGGCCUCCUGGACCAUUCCUGACACUCAGACGCGAAAGCUAGGGUAGCAAACGGGAUUAGAAACCCUAGUAGUCC